GUGGCGAGCGGGAGCUUAGGGCAUUGCCCGGUGAUGUACAGUCCCUUUCCACAACGUUGGAGAUAAAGCUGGGCUUUCGAGUCUGCGCCUGCAUAUUCCUACGACUUCUCAGAGUCCUGUGGACCAUGACUGAGGAGACAAACCAUGCAGGAAACAGUUUUUUAAGUCAUGCAAUCUGGGGGUGCGUCCGAGUACUCUAAGGGUUUAACUUACUGAUUAAAGUCUUCUCUUGCAGACCCGGUCAAUGAUUUCAGGUACUUUGUUGAUGGAGGAAAGAAGAGAAUCAGCGGGGGCACCUACUGAAUAGUUAUUAUAUACAGCGUGCUAAAAUUUUGUCUGUUACAGCCUCGGCCAUUAGAAGCUGGGGCAAGCUUUUCUGCCUACUUAACUCUGGUAAAUACAUUUCUUUUGAUAGGUUAUGUCUAGAUUUGAGAACCUUCACCAUGGUUCUCAUUUUUUGAGGUCCCAACAGGUUUCCCCCAGACCAUAUUAUAUAAACCAUAUAUGUCAUUUUUCUGUUCCCACAUUCUCUGUAAGAUUAUUGUCAUAAGUUAAAAUCUGAAUUAAAGCAUUUGAAUGUC
ensembl:processed_transcript Snhg3 small nucleolar RNA host gene 3